GGGACUUCCGUUGUAUGUCAGUCUGAUGACACUACAUGGUGGAUAAAUAAUACAAUAAUACAACAACAAACAAUUAGUUUGUUAUCCGUUGCUCAAAGGUAGUCGGCUAAAGUGUCAGAUAUUCUCCACAUUGACACACAUUCAAAACCAGCUUCAUUUAACAUACUUUAAAAAAAUCCAUAUUUGAACAUCUGUCCAUUGAUGCAUCAUCAUCCACUUACCAAUGAUGUAUUAAGACUCAUCAUCCCUAAAACCAGCUCGAUAAAAGGAACAAUUAACUGGCUCAGCCAGAGUGAAUCAAUGACUCCCAAGUAUUUGACGAGGACUCAAAUUCACUGACUCCUUACUGUUUCCGUUCUGUUUGGUGACAAGUAAAUCAAGUAAUUAAUUAUCAAUUUAUGAGUGACUUAUUUAAAUUGGGGUGACAAAAAGAAUGUUGGCACAAAAGGAAACACAGGUCAUCAUCUCCAACCACUAUCUCACUCACGGAUUGAUCAACAAAAACGCAAGGCACGCUGGGAAGCGCACACUUCCUAGACAUUGGGGGAAAAAAAAAGCUAAAAUAACAAAAACAAGUCAACUUGGCGGCGAGUGACCUUUUUGUUAUGUUCAUUACUAGAUCCAACAAGUUAUUAAACUACAGUAUAUUAUCAAUAAAGUGUUGUCCGCCUGUCUUCUUCCAGUGAUGUGUCUGUAAAUCUAAUACC